rnacentral:rRNA from 1 species
AGAUUGAACAUAAGAGUUUGAUCCUGGCUCAGAUUGAACGCUGGCGGCAUGCUUUACACAUGCAAGUCGGACGGCAGCACAGAGAAGCUUGCUUCUUGGGUGGCGAGUGGCGAACGGGUGAGUAACAUAUCGGAACGUACCGAGCAGUGGGGGAUAACUAAUCGAAAGAUUAGCUAAUACCGCAUAUUUUCUGAGGAAGAAAGCAGGGGACCAUUUGGCCUUGCGCUGUUUGAGCGGCCGAUAUCUGAUUAGCUAGUUGGUGGGGUAAAGGCCUACCAAGGCGACG